GAUGAACGCUGGCGGCGUGCCUAAUACAUGCAAGUCGAGCGAACGGACGAGAAGCUUGCUUCUCUGAUGUUAGCGGCGGACGGGUGAGUAACACGUGGAUAACCUACCUAUAAGACUGGGAUAACUUCGGGAAACCGGAGCUAAUACCGGAUAAUAUUUUGAACCGCAUGGUUCAAAAGUGAAAGACGGUCUUGCUGUCACUUAUAGAUGGAUCCGCGCUGCAUUAGCUAGUUGGUAAGGUAACGGCUUACCAAGGCAACGAUGCAUAGCCGACCUGAGAGGGUGAUCGGCCACACUGGAAAUGAGACACGGUCCAGACUCCUACGGGAGGCAGCAGUAGGGAAUCUUCCGCAAUGGGCGAAAGCCUGAAGGAGCAACGCCGCGUGAGUGAUGAAGGUCUUCGGAUCGUAAAACUCUGUUAUUAGGGAAGAACAUAUGUGUAAGUAACUGUGCACAUCUUGACGGUACCUAAUCAGAAAGCCACGGCUAACUACGUG
rnacentral:rRNA from 1 species